AUCGAGCUGACGAGUCUCCAACAGGACGAAACACGCGUCCUAGAU
rnacentral:hammerhead_ribozyme from 1 species